rnacentral:rRNA from 1 species
AUUGAACGCUGGCGGCAUGCCUUACACAUGCAAGUCGAACGGUAACAGGUCUUCGGAUGCUGACGAGUGGCGAACGGGUGAGUAAUACAUCGGAACGUGCCUAGUAGUGGGGGAUAACUACUCGAAAGAGUGGCUAAUACCGCAUGAGAUCUACGGAUGAAAGCAGGGGAUCGCAAGACCUUGUGCUACUAGAGCGGCCGAUGGCAGAUUAGGUAGUUGGUGGGAUAAAAGCUUACCAAGCCGACGAUCUGUAGCUGGUCUGAGAGGACGAUCAGCCACACUGGGACUGAGACACGGCCCAGACUCCUACGGGAGGCAGCAGUGGGGAAUUUUGGACAAUGGGCGCAAGCCUGAUCCAGCAAUGCCGCGUGCAGGAUGAAGGCCUUCGGGUUGUAAACCGUUUUUGUACGGAACGAAAAGCCCUGGGUUAAUACCCUGGGGUCAUGACGGUACCGUAAGAAUAAGCACCGGCUAACUACGUGCCAGCAGCCGCCGUAAGAC